AUCGCUUCUCGGCCUUUUGGCUAAGAUCAAGUGUAGUAUGGAGUAUAUAUACCAUACAAAGAGACUUCAAAUCAUGUGCUGAAAAAUAGAAUUAAAGUACAAGUUUAUUUACAUGCAAAAAUUUUUGAAAUCCAGGCAUUACUUUUUUCAUAAUGUGCAUUUUU
rnacentral:snRNA from 1 species